UACGGGAGGCAGCAGUGGGGGAAUAUUGCACAAUGGGCGCAAGCCUGAUGCAGCCAUGCCGCGUGUAUGAAAAAGGCCUUCGGGUUGCAAAGUACUUUUCAGUCGUGAGGAAGGUGUUAAGGUUAAUAACCUUAGCAAUUGACGUUAGCGACAGAAGAAGCACCGGCUAACUCCGUGCCAGCAGCCGCGGUAAUACGGAGGGUGCGAGCGUUAAUCGGAAUUACUGGGGCGUAAAGGGCACGCAGGCGGUUAAUUAAGUUGGAUGUGAAAUCCCCGGGCUUAACCUGGGAAUGGCAUUCAAGACUGGUUAGCUAGAGUCUUGUAGAGGGGGUAGAAUUCCAUGUGUAGCGGUGAAAUGCGUAGAGAUGUGGAGGAAUACCGGUGGCGAAGGCGGCCCCCUGGACAAAGGACUGACGCUCAUGUGCGAAAGCGUGGGGAGCAAACGAGGAUUAGAU
rnacentral:rRNA from 1 species